ACCUCUUCCCAUUCCGAACAGAGAAGUUAAGCCCGAUUGCGCAGAUGGUACUGCAAUUUGUGGGAGAGUAUGUCGCCGCCUUUU
rnacentral:rRNA from 1 species